CCCUUAGAGUUUGAUCCUGGCUCAGAAUCAACGCUGGCGGCGUGCCUAACACAUGCAAGUCGAACGCGAAAGCCCCGCAAGGGGUGAGUAGAGUGGCAAACGGGUGAGUAACACGUGGGUGACCUGCCCUCGAGUGGGGGGUAACGUCCCGAAAGGGACGCUAAUACCGCAUAACAUGCUGCCUUUGAAGAGGCGGCCAUCAAAGCUGGGGAUCGCAAGACCUGGCACUCGAUGAGGGGCCCGCGCCUGAUUAGCUAGUUGGUGGGGUAAUGGCUCACCAAGGCAACGAUCAGUAUCCGGCCUGAGAGGGCGGACGGACACACUGGGACUGAGACACGGCCCAGACUCCUACGGGAGGCAGCAGUGGGGAAUUGUUCGCAAUGGGCGCAAGCCUGACGACGCAACGCCGCGUGGAGGAUGAAGACCUUCGGGUCGUAAACUCCUUUCGAUCGAGACGAAGAACCGGCGGGUGAAUAGCCUGUCGGUGUGACGGUACCGAGAGAAGAAGCCCCGGCUAACUCCGUGCCAGCAGCCGCGGUAAUACGGGGGGGGCAAGCGUUGUUCGGAAUUACUGGGCGUAAAGGGCUCGUAGGCGGCCAACUAAGUCGGACGUGAAAUCCCUCAGCUUAACUGGGGAACUGCGUCCGAUACUGGAUGGCUUGAGUUCGGGAGAGGGAUGCGGAAUUCCAGGUGUAGCGGUGAAAUGCGUAGAUAUCUGGAGGAAUACGGGUGGCGAAGGCGGCAUCCUGGACCGACAUUGACGCUGAGGAGCGAAAGCUAGGGAGCAACGGGAUAGAUACCCC
rnacentral:rRNA from 1 species